AUUAAAAGCUAACAAACAGAAUAAAAUUAUAUAAACUGCCAUGUACACAAGCUUUUGUCACAAUAGUGGCCCCUAGCGGAGUCAAGAGGUAGAAGGUAUAGCUAAGAGUGGUCCAGACUCCAGACCAAAUUUGCAAAUGUAUGAAUUACAGAAGGUAUACUAAACUAACGUUUCGGGAAACACGUGUUACCAAUAAGGUACAGCUUAAGCCUUAAGGCACAACCUAAGAUCGACGUAGAGCUAAGAAAGUUUUGGAAAAUGCUUCCCAGAACCAUAACAGAUGAAAUGUGUGUUCUGACCUGCGGUAUUGGUUUUGUGCCGCACAUGGAACCUCACAUCAAGAAUAAAUGACCAAACACUGUAUACAAUGUGCACAAAGUACACAGUGAUGGCACAAUGGAGAUCAUACCCAUAGGUACAAAGUCCACAAAACAGUUGAAUAGAUAUGCCUCUAUUUCAGUGGUUUAUAACUGUAAACAAUUUGACUCUCCUAUAUCUCUUUACAAUAUCCCGAUUGUACAGUAAGAUCGGAUAAUGUUUUCAUUUAGUAGCAUAAUGUAAUCUUAAUUUUAAGUUUAACACCUAAAUGGCAUAAAUUUAAUAAUACAGUAAAUAUGUCCACAUCUGUUAUUUACCAACAGAAGUUUUUUUAAGGACGAUUUAAGGGUUAUCCUGUACAGGUCGAGCACGGUCUGUACACAAAUUCAGACAUUGCUCUAGAUUUAAAACUUUAUAUAUUAUCUGACUAUGGUACCACCAACUUCACUGAGACCUACAAAUGUCUACCAGAUACCUCUAUGCACUACACACAGACUGAAGAUACCCACCUUAUUAUUUAAUUGCAUGCAACUCACAUUUGCAAUGAAGUCCCAAGUUUGUUUCUGUUUAAUUCUAUGAGUAAAAUAACAAUUAGAUUUUCCUUGAAAAAUAUGCUUCAUUGACAGCAUGGGCUCAGGCUAAUACAAGUUUGUACCAGAUGCUCCAUUUUAACCUAAAUUUAUUUGAUAAGCUGGUCACAUGUCUAGGUUGUUUCCCUGCCUCAACUUGAGAUAGCUGUGAUAUGCUAUCUUUUAUAGAUUUGAUAAUGUUCCAAAAUGAACAAUGAAAGAAAUUUGACCUUUGUGCUAAAGAAGUUGGCUUUUUUAGUCAAUGUCAAAUUUGUUUACAUGUGAUUCUGAAAUAGUGCAAAGUAUGUGUUCCUCAUUUUAUGUAUAGCAGUUCUUUAAUGUAACGUCAUUUACCUGCUAAAUAUACUACUCUAUAUGUAAACUAAAAACCUAUGCUUUGUCAUGCACAGUUUUAUUUUUAUAGACAUUGCUGGUGUAUGACCUACUUAAAAGACGCUAUAUAAAGAAACACACUGGGCUGUUUAUUGUGCCCUGUCCUCAGCAAGAUUAUGGUGAAAUACUGUACUGUUGGGUCUGUCAUAAACACUGUCAUUGCAAUAUUUUAUUAGUUCCUUAUUCAGAAGAAACAGAAAUAUAAUUUCAUACUACA